CGGCAGCAGCGCGCAUCCGUGCCCGUCCCGAGCAGGAGGAGGCCGGGGCCGCAGAGCGGGGCCCCCGAGGAGCUCUGGCCCAGGCCGAGGGCGCACAGCAGAGCGACGCCACACAGAGUCAGCUGCGCGCCCCUCGUCCGCAUGGCCCCCAGAGCCGGAGGGCGCGCGGGGAUUUUAGGGGGCCUCGGCCACGCCCCCAGCCGGCCACGCCCAGACCCCGCCGCGCCCCCGCCGCGCCUCGUCGGUGGAGCCCUGCAGGACCUCAAGGGGACAGAGUUCCAAAGCGCAGGCUGAAGCUGGCGGGGCCGCACCGCGGAAGUCAAGGAGGCCACGUAUGGGGGCCCCUUUGGCCCAGAAACUCCUUCCGGAGCUAGAUACACCCUCACAGAGCGUGUUGUGGGGGGACGCCAGGCACAGCCCUCAUUUCCAGUCCCGGGUUUGCAGGGGUGGCAGGCGGCACCCUGAGUCAUCACAAGUUGGCAGUGUCCACAGGGUCUGGUGCAGGGCCCCCCCCCCAAGGAUGGAGCUGGCCUGGGACUGCCCCUUCGCUGCACCCCAUACCACCUGCAGCUUCCUGGUGGGAUGGAGAGCUCCAUGGUCUCUUAAAGAUCUUCUCUGACCGGUGAAGCUUAAACCUGCCUCAUCACUUGGAAGAUGAGCUGGAUUUUAGUAGCUGGCUUCCAAAGAAUAGAGUAAGAGCAGUGAAAAAUCCUCUUCACGGUGGAGAAGCCCGGCUGCCACCGAGGUGAGUGCUGAGGGCCGCUGUCGCUGCCGUGCACCCACACGUAUGAUAUGAGGAGGCACCCCACCUCUGUGGUAUUCUUUCCAGAUCUCCAUAACUCAAUCUAUUCAUGAGAAAAACAUCAGGAAAAAACCUAUUUGUCAUUUACCUUUUAAUUUUGUAUAUAGCAAAAUGUUUACCUCUUUUCAUUCAUGAUUUGUGUGAAUUCUUUACAUUUCGAAUUUCUUUCAUCUCAGAGUCUAUGUGAUGUCUGACUAAUGAUCUUGAAGAAUUUUAGACUCAUGAAAACAAAAACAGACUGAGCUGGGUGAAUGUAGUGACCACACUGUUUUUUCAUGUGAAACCUACAUAAGAGUGUAUUUCAAUAAUAUCUGAAUAAAAAAAAUCUCUCACCACCAGGGGUGGUGGGAUGAUGUCACGCUCUU